GCAGCUCGGGCUUCGGCCUGGUGGCGAGUGGCGAACGGGUUAGUAAUACAUCGGAACGUACCCAGAAGUGGGGGAUAACGUACCGAAAGUUACGCUAAUCCCGCAUACGUUCUUCGGAAGAAAGUGGGGGAUCGCAAGCCCUCAUGCUUUUGGACGGCCGAUGUCUGAUUAGCUCGUUGGUGGGGUAAUAGGCUCACCAAGGCGACGAUCUUGUAGCUGGUGCUGAGAGGCCGCCUCCCCUGGUACUGAGACACGGUCCAGACUGCCUACGGGAGGCAGCAGUGGGGAAUUUUGGACUAUAUGGGCGCAAGCCUGAUCCAGCAAUGCCGCGUGAGUGAAGAAGGCCUUCGGGUUGUAAAGCUCUUUUUCGGGAAGAAACGGCAGUGACUAAUAUCCUUUGCUAAUGGCGGG
rnacentral:rRNA from 1 species